rnacentral:rRNA from 1 species
AUUGAACGCUGGCGGCAGGCCUAACACAUGCAAGUCGAACGAGUGGCGGACGGGUGAGUAAUGUCUGGGAAACUGCCCGAUGGAGGGGGAUAACUACUGGAAACGGUAGUUAAUACCGCAUACCAUCGGAUGUGCCCAGAUGGGAUUAGCUAGUAGGUGGGUUAACGGCUCACCUAGGCCACGAUCCCUAGAUGGUCUGAGAGGAUGACCAGCCACACUGGAACUGAGACACGGUCCAGACUCCUACGUGAGGCAGCAGUGGGGAAUAUUGCACAAUGGGCGCAAGCCUGAUGCAGCCAUGCCGCGUGUAUGACGAAGGCCUUCGGGUUGUAAAGUACUUUCAGCGAGGAGGCGUUACUCGCAGAAGAAGCACCGGCUAACUCCGUGCCAGCCGCCGCGGUAAUUC